UGGGGGAUAUUGCACAAUGGGCGAAAGCCUGAUGCAGCGACGCCGCGUGGGGGAUGAAGGCCUUCGGGUUGUAAACUUCUUUUGCUCUGAACAAGGCAUGCCUUUGGGGUUUGUUGAGUGUAGGGGUUGAUUAGCGCCGGCUAACUACGUGCCAGCAGCCGCGGUAAUACGUAGGGCGCGAGCGUUGUCCGGAAUUAUUGGGCGUAAAGGGCUUGUAGGUGGCUGGUUGCGUCUGUCGUGAAAGCUCAUGGCUUAACUGGGGGUUUGCGGUGGGUACGGGCUGGCUUGAGUGCAGUAGGGGAGGCUGGAAUGCCUGGUGUAGCGGUGGAAUGCGCAGAUAUCAGGAGGAAUACCGGUGGCGAAGGCGGGUCUCUGGGAAGUUACUGACGCUGAGGAGCGAAAGCGUGGGGAGCGAACAGG
rnacentral:rRNA from 1 species